rnacentral:rRNA from 1 species
GACGAACGCUGGCGGUGUGCUUAACACAUGCAAGUCGAACGGUAAGGCCCUUUCGGGGGUACACGAGUGGCGCACGGGUGAGUAACACGUGAGUAACCUGCCCUCAUCUCUGGGAUAACAGUCGGAAACGGUUGCUAAUACUGGAUAUGAGCUUGCAAGGCAUCUUGUGGGUUGGAAAGAUUUUUUUUGGUUGGGGAUGGACUCGCGGCCUAUCAGCUUGUUGGUGAGGUAGUGGCUCACCAAGGCUUCGACGGGUAGCCGGCCUGAGAGGGCGACCGGCCACAUUGGGACUGAGAUACGGCCCAAACUCCUACGGGAGGCAGCAGUGGGGAAUAUUGCACAAUGGACGGAAGUCUGAUGCAGCAACGCCGCGUGCGGGAUGACGGCCUUCGGGUUGUAAACCGCUUUCAAUUGUGACGAAGCGUUUUUGUGACGGUAGCAGUAGAAGAAGCACCGGCUAACUACGUG